rnacentral:rRNA from 1 species
GAUGAACGCUGGCGGCGUGCCUAAUACAUGCAAGUCGAGCGAACAGACGAGGAGCUUGCUCCUCUGACGUUAGCGGCGGACGGGUGAGUAACACGUGGAUAACCUACCUAUAAGACUGGGAUAACUUCGGGAAACCGGAGCUAAUACCGGAUAAUAUAUUGAACCGCAUGGUUCAAUAGUGAAAGACGGUUUUGCUGUCACUUAUAGAUGGAUCCGCGCCGCAUUAGCUAGUUGGUAAGGUAACGGCUUACCAAGGCAACGAUGCGUAGCCGACCUGAGAGGGUGGUCGGCCACACUGGAACUGAGACACGGUCCAGACUCCUGCGGGAGGCAGCAGUAGGGAAUCUGCCGCAAUAGGCGAAAGCCUGACGGAGCAACGCCGCGUGAGUGAUGACGGUCUUCGGAUCGUAAAACUCUGUUAUUAGGGAAAAACAAAUGUGUAAGUAACUAUGCACGUCUUGACGGUACCUAAUCAGAAAGCCACGGCUAACUACGUG